rnacentral:rRNA from 1 species
GGGUUGUGAGGUUAAGCGACUAAGCGUACACGGUGGAUGCCCUGGCAGUCAGAGGCGAUGAAGGACGUGCUAAUCUGCGAUAAGCGUCGGUAAGGUGAUAUGAACCGUUAUAACCGGCGAUUUCCGAAUGGGGAAACCCAGUGUGAUUCGUCACACUAUCAUUAACUGAAUCCAUAGGUUAAUGAGGCGAACCGGGGGAACUGAAACAUCUAAGUACCCCGAGGAAAAGAAAUCAACCGAGAUUCCCCCAGUAGCGGCGAGCGAACGGGGAGCAGCCCAGAGCCUGAAUCAGUGUGUGUGUUAGUGGAAGCGUCUGGAAAGGCGUGCGAUACAGGGUGACAGCCCCGUACACAAAAAUGCACAUGCUGUGAGCUCGAUGAGUAGGGCGGGACACGUGGUAUCCUGUCUGAAUAUGGGGGGACCAUCCUCCAAGGCUAAAUACUCCUGACUGACCGAUAGUGAACCAGUACCGUGAGGGAAAGGCGAAAAGAACCCCGGCGAGGGGAGUGAAAAAGAACCUGAAACCGUGUACGUACAAGCAGUGGGAGCCUCUUUAUGGGGUGACUGCGUACCUUUUGUAUAAUGGGUCAGCGACUUAUAUUCUGUAGCAAGGUUAACCGAAUAGGGGAGCCGAAGGGAAACCGAGUCUUAACUGGGCGUUAAGUUGCAGGGUAUAGACCCGAAACCCGGUGAUCUAGCCAUGGGCAGGUUGAAGGUUGGGUAACACUAACUGGAGGACCGAACCGACUAAUGUUGAAAAAUUAGCGGAUGACUUGUGGCUGGGGGUGAAAGGCCAAUCAAACCGGGAGAUAGCUGGUUCUCCCCGAAAGCUAUUUAGGUAGCGCCUCGUGAAUUCAUCUCCGGGGGUAGAGCACUGUUUCGGCAAGGGGGUCAUCCCGACUUACCAACCCGAUGCAAACUGCGAAUACCGGAGAAUGUUAUCACGGGAGACACACGGCGGGUGCUAACGUCCGUCGUGAAGAGGGAAACAACCCAGACCGCCAGCUAAGGUCCCAAAGUCAUGGUUAAGUGGGAAACGAUGUGGGAAGGCCCAGACAGCCAGGAUGUUGGCUUAGAAGCAGCCAUCAUUUAAAGAAAGCGUAAUAGCUCACUGGUCGAGUCGGCCUGCGCGGAAGAUGUAACGGGGCUAAACCAUGCACCGAAGCUGCGGCAGCGACACUAUGUGUUGUUGGGUAGGGGAGCGUUCUGUAAGCCUGUGAAGGUGUACUGUGAGGUAUGCUGGAGGUAUCAGAAGUGCGAAUGCUGACAUAAGUAACGAUAAAGCGGGUGAAAAGCCCGCUCGCCGGAAGACCAAGGGUUCCUGUCCAACGUUAAUCGGGGCAGGGUGAGUCGACCCCUAAGGCGAGGCCGAAAGGCGUAGUCGAUGGGAAACAGGUUAAUAUUCCUGUACUUGGUGUUACUGCGAAGGGGGGACGGAGAAGGCUAUGUUGGCCGGGCGACGGUUGUCCCGGUUUAAGCGUGUAGGCUGGUUUUCCAGGCAAAUCCGGAAAAUCAAGGCUGAGGCGUGAUGACGAGGCACUACGGUGCUGAAGCGACAAAUGCCCUGCUUCCAGGAAAAGCCUCUAAGCAUCAGGUAACAUCAAAUCGUACCCCAAACCGACACAGGUGGUCAGGUAGAGAAUACCAAGGCGCUUGAGAGAACUCGGGUGAAGGAACUAGGCAAAAUGGUGCCGUAACUUCGGGAGAAGGCACGCUGAUACGUAGGUGAAGUCCCUCGCGGAUGGAGCUGAAAUCAGUCGAAGAUACCAGCUGGCUGCAACUGUUUAUUAAAAACACAGCACUGUGCAAACACGAAAGUGGACGUAUACGGUGUGACGCCUGCCCGGUGCCGGAAGGUUAAUUGAUGGGGUUAGCGGCAACGCGAAGCUCUUGAUCGAAGCCCCGGUAAACGGCGGCCGUAACUAUAACGGUCCUAAGGUAGCGAAAUUCCUUGUCGGGUAAGUUCCGACCUGCACGAAUGGCGUAAUGAUGGCCAGGCUGUCUCCACCCGAGACUCAGUGAAAUUGAACUCGCUGUGAAGAUGCAGUGUACCCGCGGCAAGACGGAAAGACCCCGUGAACCUUUACUAUAGCUUGACACUGAACAUUGAGCCUUGAUGUGUAGGAUAGGUGGGAGGCUUUGAAGUGUGGACGCCAGUCUGCAUGGAGCCGACCUUGAAAUACCACCCUUUAAUGUUUGAUGUUCUAACGUAGACCCGUGAUCCGGGUUGCGGACAGUGUCUGGUGGGUAGUUUGACUGGGGCGGUCUCCUCCUAAAGAGUAACGGAGGAGCACGAAGGUUGGCUAAUCCUGGUCGGACAUCAGGAGGUUAGUGCAAUGGCAUAAGCCAGCUUGACUGCGAGCGUGACGGCGCGAGCAGGUGCGAAAGCAGGUCAUAGUGAUCCGGUGGUUCUGAAUGGAAGGGCCAUCGCUCAACGGAUAAAAGGUACUCCGGGGAUAACAGGCUGAUACCGCCCAAGAGUUCAUAUCGACGGCGGUGUUUGGCACCUCGAUGUCGGCUCAUCACAUCCUGGGGCUGAAGUAGGUCCCAAGGGUAUGGCUGUUCGCCAUUUAAAGUGGUACGCGAGCUGGGUUUAGAACGUCGUGAGACAGUUCGGUCCCUAUCUGCCGUGGGCGCUGGAGAACUGAGGGGGGCUGCUCCUAGUACGAGAGGACCGGAGUGGACGCAUCACUGGUGUUCGGGUUGUCAUGCCAAUGGCACUGCCCGGUAGCUAAAUGCGGAAGAGAUAAGUGCUGAAAGCAUCUAAGCACGAAACUUGCCCCGAGAUGAGUUCUCCCUGAGACUUUAAGUCUCCUGAAGGAACGUUGAAGACGACGACGUUGAUAGGCCGGGUGUGUAAGCGCAGCGAUGCGUUGAGCUAACCGGUACUAAUGAACCGUGAGGCUUAACCUUACAACGCCGAAG